UAAUAGGUUAGGUAAAUGUUCCAUGAUAAUGGGUUAGGUAAAUGUUUCAUGAUAAUGGGUUAGGUAAAUGUUUCAUGAUAAGAAUAUCAUGUCUUUUGUAUUAAAGAAUUAAAUGGAUGAAAUAUGAAGUUUUAUUAAAAGAAAAAAGGGGUGAAAAGAACAAAGUUUUGUCCAUCUUUGUUCAUCAUAGCUGAAAGUUAGAGAAGAGAAAGGAGAGGAGAAAGCUCUUGAGUAUUCGGUCAUUAGGAGGAGGAAAAUUGAAGGCGGUUCGUGUGUGGAUCUCGUCAGCAUAUUGUCGCAAACAGGAAAUCCCCAACCAUAGUGGGCUUGGAGUUGUGAGGGAAUUCGGUGUGGCCACCCGUUCUGAAAGAUUGAUUUUCUUCUGGUGAACUGGACAUCCUUUUAAUUACGUUUGAGGUUUUGGGCUUUUAAAUGUAAUAAGGCCGCUUAUUUAUUUUUGAUGGUUUUAAUAUGUAUUACUAAGAUAGGUAUUACUUAUUUUAACUGUCGAAAUUGGAUAGCUUUAGGGCGCGUUUUCAAAAACAACAAUUGAUUUCAAAAUAACACGACAACAAGCAAAACUUCCGCAAUGAAAGUAUUUCCCAAAAUUAAUCACUUUUCCUAAAAUGACUUAAUCAAAUCGGUUUCUUAGACAUAUCCAUGACGUUAAGGUGUGGCAAUGGUGGUAUGCAUGUCUAGGAUUGGAUCUGAAGGGAGCUUGGUACUUAAGCAGUCCGAUGGACUCACCACCUCUUUUCCGGUUUCCUACCUGGUGCACAGCUUCCAUUCACCUUAACCCUUAAUGAAUUAAUCUUUUGAACAUCAAGUACGAUUUUCUGGACUUAGAAUGGAAAAUUUUUUUUAACGUUUUUGAUGUGGCAUGCCGGAUCCAGCUAUAACUUCUGGGCCGGGUUUGGGGUGCUACAUUUAGUGGUAUCAGAGCCUAGGUUGCAGCAACUUGGCUGUGGAAUGGGUUUACAAAAAUAAAGAUUUUCAAAAACGAAAAUUUUAUAAAGAUUGCGAAAAACUCGGUUUUCAAAAUUUAGAUCUUUUGAAGGUGGCACCCGAAUCUCCGGCUCAAGUCUGAAAUCCCCAACCAUAGUGGGCUUGGAGCUGUGAGGGAAUUCGGAGUGGCCACCCGUUCUGAAAGUUUGAUUUUCUUCUAGUGAACUGGACAUCCUUUGAUUUACGUUUGAAGUUUUGGGUUUUUAAAUGUAAAAAGGCCGCUUAAUUAUUUUUGAUGGUUUUAAUAUGUAUUACUAAGAUAGGUAUUACUUAUUUUAACUGUUGAAAUUGGAUAGCUUUAGGGCGCGUUUUCAAAAACAACAA